UCGUUUUGUUUCAUUAAAGAGGAUUUAAGAAAUAGGCUACCUGAUUUAUAUCCGAAUCUAUGUUUAGUAGAUCUAUAGAAUAAUGAGUCUAGUAACAAAUAGAACAACUUGACAAGGCUGUAUCGAAAA
rnacentral:sRNA from 1 species